GGUUAAGCGACUAAGCGUACACGGUGGAUGCCCUGGCAGUCAGAGGCGAUGAAGGGCGUGCUAAUCUGCGAUAAGCGCCGGUAAGGUGAUAUGAACCGUUAUAACCGGCGAUACCCGAAUGGGGAAACCCAGUGUGACUCGUCACACUAUCAUUAACUGAAUCCAUAGGUUAAUGAGGCGAACCGGGGGAACUGAAACAUCUAAGUACCCCGAGGAAAAGAAAUCAACCGAGAUUCCCCCAGUAGCGGCGAGCGAACGGGGAGGAGCCCAGAGCCUGAAUCAGCAUGUGUGUUAGUGGAAGCGUCUGGAAAGGCGCGCGAUACAGGGUGACAGCCCCGUACACAAAAGCGCAUGUGCUGUGAGCUCGAUGAGUAGGGCGGGACACGUGGUAUCCUGUCUGAAUAUGGGGGGACCAUCCUCCAAGGCUAAAUACUCCUGACUGACCGAUAGUGAACCAGUACCGUGAGGGAAAGGCGAAAAGAACCCCGGCGAGGGGAGUGAAAAAGAACCUGAAACCGUGUACGUACAAGCAGUGGGAGCCCCACCACCAAAGCAUUUGCUGUACCGCGUUGACGGAGCGAAGCGACGUCAAACCGAUAAAACAGCAGUGUAAAGUGAGCCGCAGGGCGCUUUGCGCGACAGCGCAAAGGCAGGCGGUUUCGCGUAGCGAAAGCGAAUGCUUUGGGGUGGGGUGACUGCGUACCUUUUGUAUAAUGGGUCAGCGACUUAUAUUCUGUAGCAAGGUUAACCGAAUAGGGGAGCCGGAGGGAAACCGAGUCUUAAUUGGGCGUUAAGUUGCAGGGUAUAGACCCGAAACCCGGUGAUCUAGCCAUGGGCAGGUUGAAGGUUGGGUAACACUAACUGGAGGACCGAACCGACUAAUGUUGAAAAAUUAGCGGAUGACCUGUGGCUGGGGGUGAAAGGCCAAUCAAACCGGGAGAUAGCUGGUUCUCCCCGAAAGCUAUUUAGGUAGCGCCUCGUGAAUUCAUCUCCGGGGGUAGAGCACUGUUUCGGCUAGGGGGCCAUCCCGGCUUACCAACCCGAUGCAAACUGCGAAUACCGGAGAAUGUUAUCACGGGAGACACACGGCGGGUGCUAACGUCCGUCGUGAAGAGGGAAACAACCCAGACCGCCAGCUAAGGUCCCAAAGUCAUGGUUAAGUGGGAAACGAUGUGGGAAGGCCCAGACAGCCAGGAUGUUGGCUUAGAAGCAGCCAUCAUUUAAAGAAAGCGUAAUAGCUCACUGGUCGAGUCGGCCUGCGCGGAAGAUGUAACGGGGCUAAACCAUGCACCGAAGCUGCGGCAGCGACACUGUGUGUUGUUGGGUAGGGGAGCGUUCUGUAAGCCUGCGAAGGUGGCCUGUGAGGGUUGCUGGAGGUAUCAGAAGUGCGAAUGCUGACAUAAGUAACGAUAAAGCGGGUGAAAAGCCCGCUCGCCGGAAGACCAAGGGUUCCUGUCCAACGUUAAUCGGGGCAGGGUGAGUCGACCCCUAAGGCGAGGCCGAAAGGCGUAGUCGAUGGGAAACGGGUUAAUAUUCCCGUACUUGGUGUUACUGCGAAGGGGGGACGGAGAAGGCUAUGUUGGCCGGGCGACGGUUGUCCCGGUUUAAGCGUGUAGGUGUGUGUUCCAGGUAAAUCCGGUUCACUUUAACACUGAGGCGUGACGACGAGGCACUACGGUGCUGAAGCAACAAAUGCCCUGCUUCCAGGAAAAGCCUCUAAGCAUCAGGUAACAUCAAAUCGUACCCCAAACCGACACAGGUGGUCAGGUAGAGAAUACCAAGGCGCUUGAGAGAACUCGGGUGAAGGAACUAGGCAAAAUGGUGCCGUAACUUCGGGAGAAGGCACGCUGACACGUAGGUGAAGUGAUUUACUCAUGGAGCUGAAGUCAGUCGAAGAUACCAGCUGGCUGCAACUGUUUAUUAAAAACACAGCACUGUGCAAACACGAAAGUGGACGUAUACGGUGUGACGCCUGCCCGGUGCCGGAAGGUUAAUUGAUGGGGUCAGCGCAAGCGAAGCUCCUGAUCGAAGCCCCGGUAAACGGCGGCCGUAACUAUAACGGUCCUAAGGUAGCGAAAUUCCUUGUCGGGUAAGUUCCGACCUGCACGAAUGGCGUAAUGAUGGCCAGGCUGUCUCCACCCGAGACUCAGUGAAAUUGAACUCGCUGUGAAGAUGCAGUGUACCCGCGGCAAGACGGAAAGACCCCGUGAACCUUUACUAUAGCUUGACACUGAACAUUGAGCCUUGAUGUGUAGGAUAGGUGGGAGGCUUUGAAGUGUGGACGCCAGUCUGCAUGGAGCCGACCUUGAAAUACCACCCUUUAAUGUUUGAUGUUCUAACGUGGACCCGUUACCCGGGUUGCGGACAGUGUCUGGUGGGUAGUUUGACUGGGGCGGUCUCCUCCUAAAGAGUAACGGAGGAGCACGAAGGUUGGCUAAUCCUGGUCGGACAUCAGGAGGUUAGUGCAAUGGCAUAAGCCAGCUUGACUGCGAGCGUGACGGCGCGAGCAGGUGCGAAAGCAGGUCAUAGUGAUCCGGUGGUUCUGAAUGGAAGGGCCAUCGCUCAACGGAUAAAAGGUACUCCGGGGAUAACAGGCUGAUACCGCCCAAGAGUUCAUAUCGACGGCGGUGUUUGGCACCUCGAUGUCGGCUCAUCACAUCCUGGGGCUGAAGUAGGUCCCAAGGGUAUGGCUGUUCGCCAUUUAAAGUGGUACGCGAGCUGGGUUUAGAACGUCGUGAGACAGUUCGGUCCCUAUCUGCCGUGGGCGCUGGAGAACUGAGGGGGGCUGCUCCUAGUACGAGAGGACCGGAGUGGACGCAUCACUGGUGUUCGGGUUGUCAUGCCAAUGGCACUGCCCGGUAGCUAAAUGCGGAAGAGAUAAGUGCUGAAAGCAUCUAAGCACGAAACUUGCCCCGAGAUGAGUUCUCCCUGAGACUUAAAGUCUCCUGAAGGAACGUUGAAGACGACGACGUUGAUAGGCCGGGUGUGUAAGCGCAGCGAUGCGUUGAGCUAACCGGUACUAAUGAACCGUGAGGCUUAACCUU
rnacentral:rRNA from 2 species